rnacentral:rRNA from 1 species
UACGGGGGGGGCAAGCGUUGUUCGGAAUUAUUGGGCGUAAAGCGCGCGUAGGCGGCUUUGUAAGUUAGAGGUGAAAGCCCGGAGCUCAACUCCGGAACUGCCUUUAAGACUGCAUCGCUUGAAUCCAGGAGAGGUGAGUGGAAUUCCGAGUGUAGAGGUGAAAUUCGUAGAUAUUCGGAAGAACACCAGUGGCGAAGGCGGCUCACUGGACUGGUAUUGACGCUGAGGUGCGAAAGCGUGGGGAGCAAACAGG